rnacentral:rRNA from 1 species
AUUGAACGCUGGCGGCAUGCCUUACACAUGCAAGUCGAACGGCAGCGGACCUUCGGGUGCCGGCGAGUGGCGAACGGGUGAGUAAUGCAUCGGAACGUACCUUUCAGUGGGGGAUAACGUAGCGAAAGUUACGCUGAUACCGCAUAUUCUGUGAGCAGGAAAGCAGGGGAUCGCAAGACCUUGCGCUGAUUGAGCGGCCGAUGUCAGAUUAGCUAGUUGGUGAGGUAAAGGCUCACCAAGGCGACGAUCUGUAGCGGGUCUGAGAGGAUGAUCCGCCACACUGGAACUGAGACACGGUCCAGACUCCUACGGGAGGCAGCAGUGGGGAAUUUUGGACAAUGGGGGCAACCCUGAUCCAGCCAUGCCGCGUGAGUGAAGAAGGCCUUCGGGUUGUAAAGCUCUUUCGGCCGGGAAGAAAUCGCACGGGCUAAUACCCUGUGUGGAUGACGGUACCGGAAUAAGAAGCACCGGCUAACUACGUGCCAGCCGCCGCUGUAAGAC